AAUGAACGCUGGCGGCGCGCCUAAUACAUGCAAGUCGAGCGAGAAGACGUAGCAAUACGUUUGUAAAGCGGCGAACGGGUGAGGAAUACAUGGGUAACCUACCCUCGAGUGGGGAAUAACUAGCCGAAAGGUUAGCUAAUACCGCGUACGCUCCUUGGACUUCGGUUCAGGGAGGAAAGCGAUACCGUGGGUAUCGCGCCCUUGGUUGGGCUCAUGUCCUAUCAGCUUGUUGGUGAGGUAACGGCUCACCAAGGCUUCGACGGGUAGCUGGUCUGAGAGGACGAUCAGCCACACUGGCACUGCGACACGGGCCAGACUCCUACGGGAGGCAGCAGUAAGGAAUAUUGCGCAAUGGGCGAAAGCCUGACGCAGCGACGCCGCGU
rnacentral:rRNA from 1 species